UACGGGGGGGGCAAGCGUUGUUCGGAAUUACUGGGCGUAAAGGGCUCGUAGGCGGCCAACUAAGUCGGAUGUGAAAUCCCCAGGCUUAACCUGGGAACUGCAUCCGAUACUGGAUGGCUUGAAUUCGGGAGAGGGAUGCAGAAUUCCAGGUGUAGCGGUGAAAUGCGCAGAUAUCGGGAAGAACACCCGUGGCGAAGGCGGCUCUCUGGGACGGUACUGACGCUGAGACGCGAAAGCGUGGGGAGCGAACAGG
rnacentral:rRNA from 1 species